AUUGAACGCUGGCGGCAGGCCUAACACAUGCAAGUCGAACGAGUGGCGGACGGGUGAGUAAUGUCUGGGAAACUGCCUGAUGGAAGGGGAUAACUACUGGAAACGGUAGCUAAUACCGCAUACCAUCGAAUGUGCCCAGAUGGGAUUAGCUAGUAGGUGGGGUAACGGAUCACCUAGGCGACGAUCCCUAGCUGGUCUGAGAGGAUGACAAGCCACACUGGAACUGAGACACGGUCCAGACGCCUAGGGGAGGCAGCAGUGGGGAAUAUGGUAUAAUGGGCGCAAGCCUGAUGCAGACAUGCCGAGUGUAUGAAGGAGGCCGUCGGGUUGUAAAGUACUUUCAGCGGGGAGGCGUUACCCGAAGAAGAAGCACCGGCUAACUCCGUGCCAGCAGCCGCGGUAAUUC
rnacentral:rRNA from 1 species